rnacentral:rRNA from 1 species
GGCGAACGCUGGCGGCGUGCUUAACACAUGCAAGUCGAACGGAAAGGCCCUGCUUUUGUGGGGUGCUCGAGUGGCGAACGGGUGAGUAACACGUGAGUAACCUGCCCUUGACUUUGGGAUAACUUCAGGAAACUGGGGCUAAUACCGGAUAGGAGCUCCUGCUGAAUGGUGGGGGUUGGAAAGUUUCGGCGGUUGGGGAUGGACUCGCGGCUUAUCAGCUUGUUGGUGGGGUAGUGGCUUACCAAGGCUUUGACGGGUAGCCGGCCUGAGAGGGUGACCGGCCACAUUGGGACUGAGAUACGGCCCAGACUCCUACGGGAGGCAGCAGUGGGGAAUAUUGCACAAUGGGCGGAAGCCUGAUGCAGCAACGCCGCGUGCGGGAUGACGGCCUUCGGGUUGUAAACCGCUUUCGCCUGUGACGAAGCGUGAGUGACGGUAAUGGGUAAAGAAGCACCGGCUAACUACGUG